CGGGGGUGGUAGUCGAGGACGAGCUGCUGUGGUGUCCGGGGGCGGUGGUCGAGCUCGAGGCCGAGCUGGGGGUCGAGGUCGGGCCCCCAUGGUGUCCGGGGGCGGUGGUCGAGCUCGAGGCUGAGCUGGGGGUCGAGGUCAGGUCCCCAUGGUGUCCGGGGGUGGUGGUCGAGCUCAAGGCCGAGCUGGGGGUCGAGGUCGGGCCCCCAUGGUGUCCGGGGGUGGUGGUCGAGGUCAGGUCCCCAUGGUGUCUGGGGGUGGUGGUCGAGCUCGAGGCCGAGCUGGGGGUCGAGGUCGGGCCCCCAUGGUGUCCGGGGGUGGUGGUCGAGGUCGAGCUGCUGUGGUGUCCGGGGGCAGUGGUUGAGCUCGAGGCUGAGCUGGGGGUCGAGGUCGGGCCCCCAUGGUGUCCGGGGGCGGUGGUCGAGCUCGAGGCCGAGCUGGGGGUCGAGGUCGGGCCCCCAUGGUGUCCGGGGGCGGUGGUCAAGCUCGAGGCUGAUCUGGGGGUUGAGGUCAGG